rnacentral:rRNA from 1 species
AUACGUAGGGGGCGAGCGUUGUCCGGAAUGAUUGGGCGUAAAGGGCGCGUAGGCGGCCCGGUAAGUCUGGAGUGAAAGUCCUGCUUUUAAGGUGGGAAUUGCUUUGGAUACUGUCGGGCUUGAGUGCAGGAGAGGUAAGUGGAAUUCCCAGUGUAGCGGUGAAAUGCGUAGAGAUUGGGAGGAACACCAGUGGCGAAGGCGACUUACUGGACUGUAACUGACGCUGAGGCGCGAAAGUGUGGGGAGCAAACAGGAUUAGAUACCCUGGUAGUCCACACUGUAAACGAUGAAUGCUAGGUGUAGGGGGUAUCGACCCCUUCCGUGCCGCAGUUAACACAAUAAGCAUUCCGCCUGGGGAGUACGGCCGCAAGGUUGAAACUCAAAUGAAUUGACGGGG